CCUCGGGGGGCAGCCGUGGGGAAUAUUGCACAAUGGGCGCAAGCCUGAUGCAGCCAUGCCGCGUGUGUGAAGAAGGCCUUCGGGUUGUAAAGCACUUUCAGCGGGGAGGAAGGCGGUGAGGUUAAUAACCUCAUCGAUUGACGUUACCCGCAGAAGAAGCACCGGCUAACUCCGUGCCAGCAGCCGCGGUAAUACGGAGGGUGCAAGCGUUAAUCGGAAUUACUGGGCGUAAAGCGCACGCAGGCGGUCUGUCAAGUCGGAUGUGAAAUCCCCGGGCUCAACCUGGGAACUGCAUUCGAAACUGGCAGGCUGGAGUCUUGUAGAGGGGGGUAGAAUUCCAGGUGUAGCGGUGAAAUGCGUAGAGAUCUGGAGGAAUACCGGUGGCGAAGGCGGCCCCCUGGACAAAGACUGACGCUCAGGUGCGAAAGCGUGGGGAGCAAACAGGAUAGAUACCCUGGUAGUC
rnacentral:rRNA from 1 species